rnacentral:rRNA from 1 species
UAAGGAAUAUUGGUCAAUGGAGGCAACUCUGAACCAGCCAUGCCGCGUGCAGGAAGACGGCCCUAUGGGUUGUAAACUGCUUUUAUACCGGAAUAAACCCUUUUACGUGUAAGAGGUUGAAUGUACGGUAAGAAUAAGGAUCGGCUAACUCCGUGCCAGCAGCCGCGGUAAUACGGAGGAUCCAAGCGUUAUCCGGAUUUAUUGGGUUUAAAGGGUGCGUAGGCGGCCUGUUAAGUCAGGGGUGAAAGACGGUGGCUCAACCAUCGCAGUGCCUUUGAUACUGGCGGGCUUGAAUGCAGCUGAAGUAGGCGGAAUGUGACAAGUAGCGGUGAAAUGCAUAGAGAUGUCACAGAACACCGAUUGCGAAGGCAGCUUACUAAAGUGCAAUUGACGCUCAGGCACGAAAGCGUGGGGAUCAAACAGGAUUAGAUACCCUGGUAGUCCACGCCCUAAACGAUGAACACUCGAUGUUGGCGAUACACGGUCAGCGUCUAAGCGAAAGCGUUAAGUGUUCCACCUGGGGAGUACGCCCGCAAGGGUG